rnacentral:tRNA from 1 species
GGGCCGAUAGCUCAGUUGGGAGAGCGCUGCGUUCGCAAUGCAGAGGUCGGGAGUUCGAUCCUCCUUCGGUCCACCA